AUAGACGUGUUAUAACAUGACAUCCACCCCCUAUGAACCUGUGCAUCUUCCGGUAUGCACCAAUUAACCUAAUUGCCGUUUGACUAAUAAUAUGAUCUCCAAAUCUUCGUCUAGUCCAUCUCCACCGUCUCUGCUAUCCAAAUCAAUUUCAUCUUCUCACUGUGGAAUAUCUAUAUCUUCAUUAAGGUCUUCUAUAUUUAUUUCUGCAUUUCUUUGUUUAAACAAUUUUACUCUCUUCUCUGUAAUUGGUAUUUUUAACCUUGUGCCAUCUAA
rnacentral:lncRNA from 1 species